UACGUAGGUGGCAAGCGUUGUCCGGAUUUACUGGGCGUAAAGAGCGCGCAGGCGGUCGUUCAAGUCGCGUGUGAAAGCCCCCGGCUCAACUGGGGAGGGUCACGCGAUACUGAUCGACUCGAAGGCAGGAGAGGGAAGUGGAAUUCCCGGUGUAGUGGUGAAAUGCGUAGAUAUCGGGAGGAACACCGGUGGCGAAGGCGGCGACCUGGGUAGAUACUGACGCUGAGGUGCGAAAGCGUGGGGAGCAAACAGG
rnacentral:rRNA from 1 species